UCCCUGGUGGUCCAGUGGCUAGGACUUCAUCUUCCAAUGCAAGGGAUGCAGGUUCGAACCCUGCGCAGGGAG
rnacentral:tRNA from 1 species